rnacentral:rRNA from 1 species
AUACGUAGGGUGCGAGCGUUGUCCGGAAUUACUGGGCGUAAAGAGCUCGUAGGUGGUUUGUCGCGUCGUCUGUGAAAUUCCGGGGCUUAACUCCGGGCGUGCAGGCGAUACGGGCGUAACUUGAGUACUGUAGGGGAGACUGGAAUUCCUGGUGUAGCGGUGAAAUGCGCAGAUAUCAGGAGGAACACCGGUGGCGAAGGCGGGUCUCUGGGAAGUAACCGACGCUGAGGAGCGAAAGCAUGGGUAGCGAACAGGAUUAGAUACCCUGGUAGUCCAUGCCGUAAACGGUGGGCGCUAGGUGUAGGGGUCUUCCACGACUUCUGUGCCGUAGCUAACGCAUUAAGCGCCCCGCCUGGGGAGUACGGCCGCAAGGCUAAAACUCAAAGGAAUUGACGGGG